AGAGUUUGAUCAUGGCUCAGAUUGAACGCUGGCGGUAGGCCUAACACAUGCAAGUCGAGCGAGAACGCACCUUCGGGUGUUAUUAUAGCGGCGGACGGGGGAGUAACGCGUGGGAAUCUACCCAGUAGCGGGGGAUAACUUGUGGAAACGCAAGCUAAUACCGCAUACGCCCUAAGGGGGAAAGUAGGGGAUCUUCGGACCUUACACUAUUGGAUGAGCCCGCGUCGGAUUAGCUAGUUGGUGGGGUAAAGGCCCACCAAGGCGACGAUCCGUAGCUGGUCUGAGAGGAUGAUCAGCCACACUGGGACUGAGACACGGUCCAGACUCCUACGGGAGGCAGCAGUGGGGAAUAUUGCACAAUGGGCGCAAGCCUGAUGCAGCCAUACCGCGUGUGUGAAGAAGGCUCUAGGGUCGUAAAGCACUUUAAGCAGGGAGGAAGGCCUAAUGGUUAAUAUCCAUUAGGAUUGACGUUACCUGCAGAAUAAGCACCGGCUAACUCCGUGCCAGCAGCCGCGGUAAUACGGAGGGUGCAAGCGUUAAUCGGAAUUACUGGGCGUAAAGCGCGCGUAGGCGGUAUUGUAAGUGGGAUGUGAAAGCCCCGGGCUCAACCUGGGAACUGCAUUCCGAACUGGGUAGCUAGAGUACAGUAGAGGGUGGUGGAAUUUCCAGUGUAGCGGUGAAAUGCGUAGAGAUUGGAAGGAACAUCAGUGGCGAAGGCGGCCACCUGGAUUGAUACUGACGCUGAGGUGCGAAAGCGUGGGGAGCAAACAGGAUUAGAUACCCUGGUAGUCCACGCUGUAAACGAUGUCAACUAGCCGUUGGGUUCCUUGAGGACUGAGUGGCGCAGCUAACGCGAUAAGUUGACCGCCUGGGGAGUACGGCCGCAAGGUUAAAACUCAAAUGAAUUGACGGGGGCCCGCACAAGCGGUGGAGCAUGUGGUUUAAUUCGAUGCAACGCGAAGAACCUUACCAGGUCUUGACAUCCCGAGAAGUUACUAGAGAUAGUUUCGUGCCUUCGGGAACUGUGAGACAGGUGCUGCAUGGCUGUCGUCAGCUCGUGCUGUGAAGUGUUGGGUUAAGUCCCGUAACGAGCGCAACCCUUGUCCUGAGUUACCGUCAUUGAGUUGGGUACUUUAAGGAGACUGCCGGUGACAAACCGGAGGAAGGCGGGGACGACGUCAAGUCAUCAUGGCCCUUACGAGUAGGGCUACACACGUGCUACAAUGGCUGGUACAAACGGUUGCAAUCUCGCGAGGGUGAGCUAAUCUGAGAAAGCCAGUCGUAGUCCGGAUCGGAGUCUGCAACUCGACUCCGUGAAGUCGGAAUCGCUAGUAAUCGUGAAUCAGAAUGUCACGGUGAAUACGUUCCCGGGCCUUGUACACACCGCCCGUCACACCAUGGGAGUGGGUUGCAAAAGAAGUAGCUAGUCUAACCGCAAGGGGGAC
rnacentral:rRNA from 1 species